CUUCAGGUGGCAGAGAAUGCGUAGAAUUUAAGCUUCUACGACGAGGGUGGGCCUCCUUGAAGA
rnacentral:tRNA from 1 species